AAAUCUCUCUCUCUCUCUCUCUCUCUCUCUCUCUCUAUAUAUAUAUAUAUAUAAACAACCUGUGAGGAUAGAAAAGUUUAAAUGAACUAUGUUACACAUAGUAGAGAAUACUUUUGCUCCUGUGAAGAAACAUAUUCAAUAAAUUUCAGAGAUGAGUGAAAGAGCAAUGGAGUGACAAAUUACUAUACUUCUGUCAUCAGUUAACAUUUACUUGGAAGAUGGAUAAAUCUUCAAAUGUUAUUACAGAAGAGGCUUGAAGAUUUCUGCAUUGAUGAGGGUGACAGAUCUAAUAGCUAAUGUUUAUGAGGGUUCAUUAAACAGCUAUGACAGACACCAGUUUAAUGAUAAUAAUCUGAUCUCAGCCUAUACAUUUCUUCAUGGUCACAGUAACACAGCAGCUUAUAAUCUUUCUCCAUCAGUGUAUUUCCUCCAAAAUAAAAGCAAAAAAGGGCAACUAUUUCACCAAGCAAUGCUCAAGGACCACCUUGAAGAAAAAGUCCAGUCUGUAGUUCUGGCAUUAAGUCAAAUAAUCCUGUUUGGAGUUUCUGCCACAGGCAUAGUACAAAAUGCAGCAGAGUAACAUAUGUGAAUCAGUACACUCUUCUCACCUUCCUAGGAUGACUCCUGUAGAUUUCCUUAUGUAAACCAAUUUAGAAUGAUUAGAACAGGAACUCUGUGGUCCCUCUCGUUCAAAGAGUUGGGGAGUCCCCAAUCAUUGCAAGUUGGAUUUGAUGCCACAAGUUGAAGACUUUGCAUCACUCUUCUCCUGUGAUAUAUUCCUGCACACAACAUUCUUCUUUUCUUUCUUUCUUUCUUUCUUACUUGUAAGACCAUUCUUGUCUGCAGUUAAUAUGGUGAAGCACCACCAUACUAUAACACACCCUCUUGAGUUAUUUCAAGGAUGCAUAACCAAAAGAUGACCAUUAACAAGCAGCUAAAGGACUUUUGUUUCUUGACAUGAAAGAAGUAAUGAUGUCUCAAAGAAACACCUCAUGAUGAGGAACCUCCUUCGAUGCUAUGCUAUAUUUGUUUCUCUAAACAUCUCAUCUCAUGAUCAUGAUGGGGAACCACCUUCAAUGCCAUGAUAUAUUUGUUUUUCCUUCCAAAGAUAAUGUACCAAAACUAACUUUUCUUUAUUCUUAGAAAAAUAUAUAAUAUGAUUUUUCUAAAAAUACCUAAUUUAUUGAGUUUUUUUUUCCUCAGUGUUUAAUUUUCUUAUUUAUUAUAUUUUUUUCCUCUAAUAUUCUAAAUAAUUCUUAUUUUGUUGUCUUCAUCUCGCUACGAGGUCUCAUCGACUCUAUGUGCUUGCCUUUACCCUAUCGUUUCCAUAUGAUCAUCUCUAUCUUAUCGCAAAGGCCUUAUUUUUUUCUAUAAGGUUUCAUUACUUUUAUCUCGCUACGAGCUACUAUCGCAUCUAAGUGGCCAAGCAUGAAGAUGAGAGAAGAAAAAUACCUAAUUUUUUUCUAAAAAUAUCUAAUUUNNNNNNNNNNNNNNNNNNNNAUUUUUUUCUAAAAAUAUCUAAUUUUUUAAGUUUUUUUCCUCAGUGUUUAAUUUUCUUAUUUAUUAUCUUUUUUCCUCUAAUAUUCUAAAUAAUUCUUAUCUUGUUGUCUUCGUCUCGCUACGAGGUCUCAUCGACUCUAUGUGCUUGCCUCUACCAUAUCGUUUCUAUGUGAUCAUCUCUAUCUCAUCGCAAAGGCCUCCUUUCCCUCUAUAAGGUUUCAUUACUUUCACCUCGCUACGAGCUACUAUCGUAUCUAAGUGGCCAAGCGUGAAGAUGAGAGAAGAAAAAAGAAGAAAAGUCGAAGCGUACAUAGAAAAAAAUAAAAGAGAAGCAAAAGGACGAAAGCGACGAAUGAUAAGUGAGGAUAAGGUGUGUUUAAGAUAUUAGAGAAAAAAACUAAAUAGUAUUUAAAAAAAAUCCAGAGAUAAUUUUUUAGAAAAAUCAUACAACAUUUGUUUGAUUCUUAUGUAAUGAGGUUUAUGCAACGCCUGAGAAAGGAGAUGGAAGUUUGGCUUUUAAUAUUCCUGCUCCUUUAGAGUAGUAUACCCAUCAUGGGACCUUCGUUUGGGCGACAAAGCACAAGUGCAUGAUAUGUCACCACAUACAGAUACAAGAAGGCCAAGAACCGAGGCUUUCUCACGUCAUGUCCUCACUCCUAGGAUUCUCUCUGGUGACUUUCCAAUUGCCGAGAGUUUGUUGUUUCCUUAUGGAGAUGGAUGCUGCAGCUGAUAGAUUCUGAUCUGGUCCCAACAGGUAAGGAAACAGGAAGCAUCAUAGGAUCGCUUUGUUCUUGGUCAGAUGUUUGUGUUGAUUCCUUUGCAGAUCUUUUGGGUCGAGCGAGUUCAAACCCAAAUAGCCUCUUUGGCUGGGGAAUCUCUGCGAUUUCCAUGUUAGAUUUUUUCUUCUUUGUUCUAGUUGGACAUGCUUGUAACGUAAUCUUUGAUGGCAUCACCAUUUGGGGACUUGAUUUCUGCGUCUUUCUUUUUUUGUGUUUGACCGGGUAGGGUUCAUCUUCUUUUCCCUGGACAAUUUCUAAGAUCUUCUGAUGUAAUUUCCUACAUUGAUUGCGUUGGUUUUUAGGGGUGGCCACUGCAAGGGCUCGACUGUGUUGAUUGAAGUUGUUUCUCUCUGUUGGAAAUAUGAAACCAUUCAUCCUUUCUAAGUUUUCUGUUUCCUUCGAGCCUUGCAUUACAGUCUUCAGUGGUUUGUGCUUCUUUUAUGCAGGGAAGGUAGUCCUUCUCCUCGAGGAUCGUAAAGCUUGACCUUUUCCUUCUUUCCCCCCUUUCUUGUGUUCGCUUGAAGUUUAGACUUGAAAGGUUGUGUGAAUUCUUUUUGUCGGACUGGCUAAGAGGUAGGAAAGUAGCUGGUGUCUCUGGGCCUUAAAGAAAGCAGCAAGAUGGGGCACCGAGCCUGAUGAUCCGAUGGUAUUCUAGGUUUCAGCAGGAAGAACUGAUAAAUGAGCAUGACAAUGGCGACUCAGGGCGUUGGUGGAGGGCAGCAGUCACCGAUCCAGAGCUUGGCCAGGCAAGGGUCCCUUUACAGCCUCACCCUCAAUGAGGUCCAGAGCCACUUGGGUGAGCCCUUGCACAGCAUGAACCUUGAUGAGCUCCUCAGGAGUGUGAUCCCGUGCGAGGAUAAUCAGUCUGCAGGCCCUGACGAUGGCGGCGGCACUGGCGUAGGAUGUCCAGGCAUCCGGUGCGAGGGGAGUAUCACCAUGCCGCGUGCCCUGAGCAAGAAGACAGUCGACGAGGUGUGGAGGCACAUCCAAACAGGGCAGAAGGAGAAUAGUGAUGGUGUUGCGGAUUAUGGAAGGCAGCCGACCCUAGGGGAAAUGACUCUUGAGGACUUCUUGUCAAAAGCUGGGGUGGUCACGGAAGGAUCUGAUCAGAGUAGGAGCAAUCGGAUUGGCAAUGUGGGUCUUGAUCCAAGGACACAGUGGUUGCAGCAGUAUCAUCAGCAUCAGCAGCAACAAGCUCAGCAGAGCAGAAUGGGAGCUUUUGUGGGUCAACAGGUGCCACAACCUCUGGCUGUCGGCGUUGGAACCAUGUUGGACUCGAGGUACCGUGAUGGUGAAGGAGCCAGUUUGUCCCCACUUGAUCCACAAACACCAAGGCGGAAGAGGGGGCCUUCGGAGGACACGACGAAGAAGACUGUCGAGAGGAAGCAGAAGAGAAUGAUCAAGAACCGUGAGUCAGCUGCCCGUUCACGAGCUAGGAAGCAGGCAAGACUAUGGAUGUUUUAUCUUUGUUGAUGCUAGUGUUGAUUCAUGGAUCUUAGUUAUACACAUCUGGUUUUUCUAUGAACAGGCUUACACGAAUGAGCUGGAGAACAAGGUCUCCCGACUUGAAGAAGAAAAUCAGAGGUUGAGACAGCAAAGGGUACCUUCUAUAUUUUUCCUUUAACUUCCUCUAAUUGAUGAUAGAUCAAUGAUUCAAGUUGGUGAGGAUGGAUGGAUACAAAAACCCUAUUCUUAUCUCACUAUUAAUUAUUUUAUAUUUAGUGGUCAUUUGAAUGAAAUAAAAUCUACAUCUUUCUGAUGCGGUUUUCAUCAGAAGCAUAAUCUUCAAUCACCUAAACUUAAAUGGUACUUCAAAGUUUGGAAAAUAUAUUAUAUAACUUAAUCUGCUUUUUCUAUUCCCAAUUUUGAUAUUAGCAAAUUUAUGUUCAUCAUUGGAAAAAUUAUCUUGCAAGUAAUAUUACAACUUUAUUUAUUGCUCCAUUUCUCUGCAGUAAGAAAAAGAGAGAAAAAAAAGUGGAGAAGUUGGAUAAUUGAUGGUAUAAAACAAGUUUUGACAAGUUCAGAAUAGUUCCUAUCUUGGAUUGCUAUGGACAGAUUAAGAUAAGAAAGAAAGUCUGAAGAAAAUUGAAAAGUAAUAUCUGCCUGGGCCAGAGAUUUUAGUCAGACGAUCUGUCUACGUCUGAGAUCUCAUAAUAUAAAGCACAAGGAGAUUGUAUUCAGGUCUUCUUAAACUGCCAGCCACAUCUAGUAAGAGAGUAAAAAAUGCUAACGAAAGAGUAAAAGGAGGCAAGCUAGUCCCUCAAACCUUUUGACCUUCAAAUAUAUUUCUGAAUCAGUUUGAAUCUGACUACCUUCUAAAAAGUGCCUCCGAUGCACCUGUUUAUGACUGAUGUGAGGAAAUUUUAGUAAGCUGUCGUAAACCAUUACUGGACUGGAUUAAAGAUUAAUGAAUGGAUAUCUUGACGUUUUGCAUCAUAGAUAAUGCUCAAUGUUUUUGGGUCCAACAGCAGAGAAAACUCUUGUUUUGGUCAAUUUAUAAGGUAAUAAAUGGUGACUAUUUUUAAGUUUGACAGCAAGUUUAUGCAUUUUCUAGCUUGCAAAAUUUACAGAAAUUUCACAAGUCACCAAACUUAUAAAUAACUUGCUGUGUCAAAGAUCAUAGCUAAAAGGGUUGUAAUAGACUAGAUAGUAGGAUAUUUUAAAUUACAACUUCCAGUAUUGUUACUAUUUUCAUGGUCGUUAUUGUUACUUCUAUUGUUGUUGUUGUUGUCGUCUUUCUUCAUUUUGUAAAUUCAAAAUCAACAUUGGUUCCCAUUGCCAGAAGAGAUUGUGUUGGAUCAUAUAGUUUUUAUGGUAGACUAUGAAAGUUGAAAGAAACUUUUAAUUGUUGAAAAUGUUAAAAGUAGUAAGUGCUUCUGAUGCAACUGGUGGAAAUACAUGCAUCAGACCUUUGGUUGAAAUGGUGAAAGCAAGUUCAUUUUACUGAAACAUUAGUGUAGAAACAAUUAAAAGGACUUUUCUUACUUCACUUAAUAUUCUGUUAGUUAUCAUCUUAUGUUUCAGAUAGUAUACUCAUCUGAAUCUGAUAAUUCUCGUUAUGUAUCAAAUACUUUUAAGUGUGUGAUCUUUCACUUAGUUAUUAAUUAAUUGGAUACGUACUGGGUGCUUGAAGAUAUCUUGCGAAGACUUCUUGUGAGAACUUCUUUUUCUAAUUCUUGUGAGGACUUAGUAGUAUUUUCUCCACUGUUGAUACUCAAUAAUUGACGAGAUGGGCAUAUGGUUUUAGAUAUGUUGUUAUUGUUGUCACUUGAAUUGAAUAUUCAUUUAUGAUAUAAAUUUACGGUUUUCUCCACUGUUGAUACUCAAUAAAAUUAAGAUGAUGGUUUCAUCUUCUUUCAUACUUGUUUUUUUUUAAAUUUUCAUUACCUGGUUGGAGCAUUAUAUUAAAUAACACUAAGAUCUGUCCUAUGCAGCAGAUUUUGUGCUUGCAGCUGCUAAAAUGCAUAUGGUAGACUUCUGCUGGAAUGUUUAUGUAUUUUCCUUUUGGUCUGAAUUGUUAAGAGGAGUGGAGGCAACAUUUAGCUUCUGGACUUAUAUAUAGAUAUUAGAAUCUAGAAAAUAUAGGAUUUGAACUUGAUUCUGCUUUUCAAUCAUCAAGGGAUUCCUUCUGAACUCAUCAAUCUCAUUCACUUCUGGUGUAUCCAUGAUCGAGAAAUUGCCAUGAAGCUACAAUUAUGUGUUAAAGGUUCUUCCAGUUAAGCGUUCAAUUCCAGAUGGCCUGCUAAUGCUUUCCCUUUAUAUAGCAAUUUCAUGUACUGGCUUCCCACGGAAGAGUUUUUGCUGGAUUGUUCUUCACAUGCUGUUGUUUUUAUGGCCUUUUUCUUUCCUUCCUUUCAAGACCAUUAUCCCUGAACUUCCAAGACUUGAUGCUAAUUUACUGUUAAUGAAGAAAGUUCAAUAUUAUUUAUCUGAUUUCGAGGCUUAUCUGUUGAUCCAAUUUGCUGAAUCUGUCAUCUGAAACUUAAAAAACCAUAGUUGAUGGGAAAAUGGUUGCCCCGAGUCUCUCUUGCCCAUUGUUUAAGAUCAUAACUUUUGUGAUAUUUAUGUUGAACUUCAAAUAUAUGUGGGCCUUGGUAACUUAAUAAGCCUUUAGUUGUUUAAUCUUGGAUUAAGUUCAAUUUGACCAAAGGUUCUUAAUUUCAUACCGUAUCGACGUUUCUAGCUUUGCUCGAUAUGGUACGGUUCGAGUGUACCGAUCGGUACGUCAGGGUGUCCCGCUCGGUGUGUGUAUAUAUAUAUAUAUAUAUAUAUAUAUAUAUAUAUAUAUAUAUAUAUAUAUACACACAUAAAAAAUAAGAAAAAGGAGGUGUAUGCUACCUCGGCGACGUCGCCUCCUUUUCUUCUCCUCGUUGCGUUAGAUGAGGAGAAGACAUGGUCUUCUCCUCAUUUGCUGUGUUCAACGAAGACGGUGAAGGCCAUAGACGUCUCUGAAGAACGCGGAAGAAGAAGCCGAGAUGUCGCCUCUCUGUUACCUCAUAGAUCGGGAUCGUCGAGGGAGGGCGACGUUGGAUUGGGAAGUGUCGAGGUUCUCCCGAUUAUCCCUCUUCUUCGAACACCUUCUCCCUCUUCUCCCUCGACGCUUCUUUUUCGCUCACUGCAACCAAGUUGAUACUGCCCAUAGCGAGUGGUCCACGUACCAGUCUAUUGGCAGACUGGUAUGUACCGUUGGAUACAGGCAGUAUCAUUUGAAAUUAAUAUCCUUGAUUUGAUCUAUAUGGGAUUCAGGUUUGAUAAUUUGUUGACUUGAUACUAUCUUUCAGAUGGAAGACUUGGUCGAGGAGAGAACUAUCGCAGAAAGUGUAGGGAAAUCUAGGGCCAACAUCACAUGUGCAGAAGAACAUAAAAACAACAAUAUUAGAUUUCCCAAAAAGGUAUUCAUCGUCGUGCGAAGAUUGGUGCGUAAAAACCCGCUAAACUGAAAGCCACGUAUGAGAUAGAUGCGUUACCUAGGGAGAUUGUAUAUCCUUGAAUUCCUGCAGAUCUGUAGAAGAGGAUGAAGGAGAUCAAGUGUUCUCCUUUCUAGCGGUGAUCUAUAUGGCAGGGGCUGCGUAGAUGCUCCUCGAGUCACUACUCAAAUCUCCACACUUGUUGUCUGAGGAGAAGGGAAGAGGAGAAUAGGAGGUGGCAACCAAAAAGGCCUAGCCUAUGACCCUUUAGUUCUCUCCUAUUUAUAGAGGUCCCUUAUCAACUUAACUCUAAUGAAUUCUACUAUAUUGGAUAUUGGAUCUCUAUCCAAUUACCUAAGGCUCUUAUAUUAGUAUAUUAGUGGGUCUCUACCUAAUAAUCUCUUAUUAGCUCUUAUUGGAUCUUAUCUAUAGGAUCCAAUAAUUCAUAGGCUUAAUGGAUAUCCAAUAAGAUAGGGGCUUCGGCGAAUAUCUCAUAUCUGAACCCCUAUUCGUCGUAACACCUACCAUAUGUGUGUGACCCUCUAGGUCCAAUAUCGAGUUGUCCGUGAGUCAUACAUAUCAGAACUCCUUUUGGCUCAGUGAAUUAUCAUCUUCAUAAUGAUUCACUUGACUCAUCGACUGCGAACGUACUAGGCCACUACGCUGUAGUCCCUAGAUGAUAUAGGGGAAUCUAAUCCUUUGGACCUAUCUGUCCUCAGUUAUUAUGUACCUAUAGUCCCUCAUCCAUCUAAUAUCCCAGAGACUAUAUACUAGGCAUGGUGCUGUUAGGCCCAUACGAUUUCUCCUCGAGUCUUAUUCUAAUCGGAUUCUCCUAUAAAACUCUUUCUCUCUUAAUUCGAAUGACCUUGGCUAAGAAUUUGUGUGAGUAAGAACACAUGAGAUAUUCCUCUCAUGAUAUUGAGAGCGGAUGAUCCUCUAUUCACACUCAAUAACCCUCGUAAUGUUCAUUGUCACUUCCGAUGCCCAGUUGUACUAGAUCUGGAACUAUCAAACCUAUAAGUCUGGUAUCAAAGAGUGGAGUACUCAUACAAGACAUCCUUGAUGUCUUAAGUUUAAGGACCAGGUACACCACUGAGACGAUGAAAUCACUAUUUGACAAUGAGGUAUCAUCAACCAUUCAACAUUCCGUGAGCGGAUCAAUCAGUGAACUCAUUCUCCAAUGAGCACCUGCAUUGUAGCCCUAGUGUCCCCAUACGAACAGCUAUGAGACCAGCUGCUUCCAUUAUAUGGACAGGCAUACAGCACACCAGUCUAUUCGGUUAUCUCGAUGUCCCUCUCAAAUAACCUAUAACCAAGAUUAUUUAGGGUCUGUGUUUAAAGGUGAAUCGGUCUUAUUAUCGUGAUCUGAUCACGAUCCGAUUCCCAUUGCAUAGAUCCAUGGACAUCACAAUAUAUUAAAGCAUCAAAUAAUAUAAAGUGAAAAAUACUAUAAUAAUAAUAAGCAAAAAGACUGCAUGUCAUGUCAUACGUGCCAUUACGCACGUGAUUGGCCUGUAGGGCACCUAUGACUAGCAGAAAGACUAAGCGUAAAACCGAAAGAAAACAACUUAUAUUGCUUGUAAAGCUAAAAGUGCUAGCUACAAGACUUAAAACAAUAGAAUUAAAAGUGCAUAACCAGACCAAUAGGUGCAUAGAGUGCAGGUUGUCUUUGGACAGCUCUUGGCUGCUCUCGGCAAUUUAUGGAAUGUUGCCAGUUUCAACCUCCUCCUCUCUUGCUGCUGCAACCUCCUUCGGAGGUUUGGACAACAAGCAUUGGGGACUUCUCACAACAGUUGGAUAAAGCUUUAAUGCAAGGUUUUGGUUACUAGAACACAAGGAAGAAGGCUAUGAUUGGAAGGAUGGGCUAUACCUCACAGAAUUCCUCCUUUCUCUCUUCUCCUCUCGUUUCUUCUCUCUUUUGAGGUUGGAAUAGCUAGGGCUAGUUGGGCUUUUGCUUGAGACUUCUUUUGAUUGUCUUUAAAUGGGAGCACACCCCUUGUUUUAUAGGGUGAGGGAUACGUAAAGUCCUUAGGGUUUAAUGACUUUCCUUGUAGGAUAAUUUCUCGACAACGAUCUUUGUUAUUGUCAUCGUUGCCAAAAGAUCUAGAAACCAAGCUCUGAUAUCAGUUUGUUAGAGCUGGUCCUAGGAAAUUUACCAAAGGGUAAUUUGACAACCCAAUAAAGAUAAUAAAGCAGAAAAAUAAAAGAGACAAGGACACCAGAUUUACGUCGUUCGGUCAAUUGACCUACGUCCACGGACGGAGGAGGAGCAAAACUUUACUAUAAAAGGGAUAAUUACAAAUGUCUUAGGAAAAAGUUCCUAGGCCAUAAAACACCUGAAACUACUAAACAAGAAAAACCCAAACUAUAAGCCCAAACUAUUUUAACUAAGUGUGGACUUAACAGAAAUUAAACCCAAAGCAAACAAUUAGAUUUUUCUUGUGGUGCUUCUGGCUUCAAAGCCUAGACCCUUAUUUAUAGUUGCAAUUGGAGAUAACAAGUUUGAUUUUCCCGAUGUGGGACUACGUGGGACUUGCCAAACUAACAAAGGAUGUUUGGUAAGGAAUUAUACAAGGAAAAAAAGACCCUCUUUCGACAAGCAGCUAGUAACCUGUGGUAUGAAGAGGAAGUGAUUUUAGGGUACAGAUUCUAAGCUUGAAUGCUGUAGUAGUAUUUUUGUCAAUUAAUCUGCAAAAAACUAUUCACGCGUGAGGAGAUUAAGGUCAAGGUUGAAGGUUUCCAAGCUUUAGCAAAUAUGACCAUGCGUAAGGAUGCAUAAUUAAGGUAGCAAUUGUAAUCUUUGCAUGAUCUUCCACUAAAGUUAAGGUGGUCCUGAUUUCUGACAUAAAUGAUAAGAAUGCUCAUACUGGUAGAGUUAACCAUUGUGUAAACAUGCAUCAAUGUAAAGAAUUCUUUUGUUGCAUCUGUGCGGAAUUUAUAUUGCUGGGGAACUUCCAUUGAGCAAAGUGCCUAAAUAUUGGCGCUCACCAGUUCAGAUAUGUGUUGCUGACUUCUUUCAAAAUUUAUUAGUAAACUUGGCCAGGCGAUAUUUUACAGAAGUUGCUGCACUCAUUGUGGCACAAAUAAUGAUUGAUAUGUAUUCCAUUAUAGAUUUGAUACCAAGUGAAAAAUGCCUUUUUUCAUCAAACUUCUUUGAUUUAUAUCUGUGCAUCGGCACGAAGUUAAUGUUUAUUUGCUUAUCCGCAGGAGUUGGAAGCUAUGAUACACUAUAUUCCCCAGCCCGAACCAAAGCAUCAACUCCGUCGAACGAGUUCAGCCGCUUUCUGAUCCGACGAGAGAUCUGGAUGGGUUGGUCUAUUAAGUUAUGCAUUAGGAACAUAUGUUUGCAUGUUGAUUCAGCUCCAGGAUUCAUUCACAAUAGAGUGGGAGCUGAACGGUCUGCUGCUUGUGUUCUAAGAUUGUAUCUGGCCUUCUUUGGUUUGUCUAAGUGAAUGAUUUUGAACAUAAAGAACUCGAUGAGUAUUGUGAUAUAAGAUAUUCCACUUCUCAUGUGCCUUUACCUGUUCGUUGCUGAGAUCCAAUGACAAAUGAAGUGUUGUUUCUUCUUCACUUGUUUGAUCUGAAGAUUGACUUCAUUAGAACUGCAAGCAUGCAGGCAAAUUGUAAUUCAUCACAAUAUAUGUUGCACUUUCAAUUCCUUUGUUCAAGAGCACUUGUGACUUAAUGUUGAAAUCUAUAUUAGCAGAUUCAGUAAUGUUGUAUGAAACAUAGAACAGAUAGAACGAAUACAAAAAGCCUAUUCAGAUUUAUCAACGAGACGAUUCCAAUAUUACAAGACUCGUCUUCCGCCUGAAGAAAGAUUAUGCGAUAAGAUGGAUUUGGAUGGGAACGAGUUGGACGAACCCAGUGAGUCGGCUCGGCAUCGUUGAUUGGUUUACGACUUAGUUUCCAACCACAGCCAACGGUCUGAUCUGACAGGAAUGAACGGCACAGAUCAUCACGUCACCAAUAUAACCCUAACCCUAGUCCCCCUCCCCCGUCUAUAAAUUGACAUCUGUUACGGCAUCUCGCGUUCAUCCCCGCUCCUCCCAAAUCUCUCUCUCUCUCUCUCAUGACGUCUGUUACGGCCUCUCGCGUUCAUCUCUGCUCCUCCCAAAUCUCUCCCUCUCUCUCUCUCUCUCUUUCGUUUUGCUAUCGGUUUUUGUUUGGUUUGACGGGCAAAUGAGGAGUGCUUUGAUUUAAUGGGUAAUUUGCGUCUGAAGCAUUGAUUAUGAAGUUACCUAUCAUAUCACCUUGGAGAUCUGAUGCCCAAGAACUGCAAGUUUUCUCCUCUCUCUCUCUCUCUCUCGCUCGCUCUCUCUUUGUUUUACUAUCGGUUUUUGUUUGGUUUGACUGGCAAAUGAGGAGUGCUUUGAUUUAAUGGGUAAUUUGCGUCUGAAGCAUUGAUUAUGAAGUUACCUAUCAUAUCACCUUGGAGAUCUGAUGCCCAAGAACUGCAAGUUUUCUCCCCUUAUUUUUCCCCAAUUUUGUUAUGAUUUUGUGGAUUCGUCUUUGAUUUGGUCGUUAAAUCCGAAGUGUUUUUGGUACAGUGGAUGGAUGGUGAUAAGGAUAAGACGGAAAUGAUGAUCGAUGAUUGUUUUCCCUAUUGGUUUGAUUGCCGGUAUGAUGGUUCCCAUUGCAUGAACUCCAUCUGAUCUCUCUCUGCUCCUUAUCAUCUAUUUUUUCUCUUUUGAAACUUCGAACUUGCUUAAAAUUGUGGUCUUAUUUUUUAUCAUGUCAGAUAUAUAUAUAUAUAUAUAUAUAUAUAUAUAUAUAUAUAUAUAUAUAUAUAUAUAUAUAUAUAUAUAUAUAN
rnacentral:lncRNA from 1 species